UGUCCCAGAGUUAUAUUGUCUGGUUCAAAACAAACUGCUUAUUUACAUAUUCUACUAUUUUUUUCAAUGUCAAAUUCAAUUCAAAAAAGUUUAUGCUCCCCCAAAGAGAUGCAAAGUCACGUUGUCUUUCUUCCUCUUCUUUUGUCUUAUCCACUUUCUCUUCCUUUUCUAUUAUGUUCUCUCUUUCGCUGCCUCUCUCUUCAUGUGUUUUUUUCUUCUCUCUUCCACUGCUUCUGUCUUCCUAUUCUUCUUUCUUCUCUUCCUUUUCUUCAACAAAAACAAUCGGGUUGUGGGACGAUUUGCAGAUAUAUAGAAAUUAAAGUUUUUUGAGAUUUAUACUCUUUUGUUUUGACCUAAGAUUGUUGGUGUUGUAGGAAUGAGGAAGAUGGCGGCGGCUAUGACGUUUCCGGCGAUUUUUCAAUGAUAUACAAUAUCGCGGUGGUAGAUCUCUGGUGGAUCUUGGUAAAAAAGGGACUUGAGCUUGUCUUCUGCUUUGAUGGCUAUGAAAUACUAGACUAAUGCAUUCAUUUUGUAAAAAAGGCUACUGGAGAUGGAGUAUUGGAUUAGAGAUGACGAUUUUGAGUUUAUUAGGCUUUUAUGCUUCUCUUAAAUGAUCUAUUUGCAUGUAUAUUGGUUGUAUAUAAAGGAGUUGUGUGUGAUUACUUUGGACUAUUGUGAUGGUUGUUAAGAGUCCCAUAUCGGAUAAUAUAUGGUUUGAACAUGUGUUUAUAAGUGGGGGAAGUCCUCGCUCUAUCAAAUAUGGUUUGUUUAAAUGUC